GACAAACGCUGGCGGCAUGCCUAACACAUGCAAGUCGAACGGACAGAACAGGGAAGCUUUUCGGAGUGGAACUGGAAAGUUAGUGGCGGAUGGGUGAGUAACGCGUGGACAACCUACCUUGUAAAGGGGAAUAACCUCGAGAAAUCGAAGCUAAUACCCCAUAAUAACCUUGCUUCGCAUGAAGUAAGGAGGAAAGGCGGCCUUAGCGCUGUCGAUACAAGAUGGGUCCGUGUCUGAUUAGCUAGGUGGUGAGGUAAAGGCUCACCAAGGCGAGGAUCAGGAUCCGGACUGAGUGGGGGAACGGCCACAUUGGGACUUAGACACGGCCCAAACGCCUACGAGAGGCAGCAGUGGGGAAUCGUCCGCAAUGGGCGAGAGUCUGACGGAGCAAUGCCGCGUGAGUGAAGAAGGCCUUCGGGUUGUAAAACUCUGUCCUUAUCGAAGAGAGAGUGUUGUAGUAACUGACAAUACUAGGACGGUAGAUGAGGAGGAAGCCCCGGCUAACUAUGUG
rnacentral:rRNA from 1 species